UACGGAGGAUCCAAGCGUUAUCCGGAAUCAUUGGGUUUAAAGGGUCCGUAGGCGGUCUUGUAAGUCAGUGGUGAAAGCCCAUCGCUCAACGGUGGAACGGCCAUUGAUACUGCAGGACUUGAAUUAUUGGGAAGUAACUAGAAUAUGUAGUGUAGCGGUGAAAUGCUUAGAGAUUACAUGGAAUACCAAUUGCGAAGGCAGGUUACUACCAAUGGAUUGACGCUGAUGGACGAAAGCGUGGGUAGCGAACAGG
rnacentral:rRNA from 1 species